GAAACCCCGUCCGAUAAGGUGAAGCCCCACCAUCGGUAGCAAGCCUAGAGUAUGUUUCUGGUAACAGGGCAUGCAAAGCAAAGGGAGUUAGGUAGCAGGGUCAAAAGGCAGUUUAGCUUCGAAAUUUGUGGAUGGUUCAGAGUGCCGACGCCGUCAACAUAGCGGAAGGCAACACGCAGAUAUUCGUCAAAGGGUUAGAUAUCUGAGGCUCUGCGGAGUUAGAAGUCA
rnacentral:ncRNA from 1 species